GAGUUUGAUUCUGGCUCAGAUUGAACGCUGGCGGCAUGCUUUACACAUGCAAGUCGAACGGCAGCACGGAAGAGCUUGCUCUUUUGGUGGCGAGUGGCGAACGGGUGAGUAACGCAUCGGAACGUACCGAGUAGUGGGGGAUAACUGUCCGAAAGGAUGGCUAAUACCGCAUAUUCUCUGAGGAGGAAAGCAGGGGACCUUCGGGCCUUGCGCUAUUUGAGCGGCCGAUGUCUGAUUAGCUAGUUGGUGGGGUAAAGGCCUACCAAGGCGACGAUCAGUAGCGGGUCUGAGAGGAUGAUCCGCCACACUGGGACUGAGACACGGCCCAGACUCCUACGGGAGGCAGCAGUGGGGAAUUUUGGACAAUGGGGGGAACCCUGAUCCAGCCAUGCCGCGUGUCUGAAGAAGGCCUUCGGGUUGUAAAGGACUUUUGUCAGGGAAGAAAAGCUUGAGAUUAAUACCCUUGAG
rnacentral:rRNA from 1 species